rnacentral:rRNA from 1 species
UAGCUUGGACGGACUCCGAGGAGGAAGCCCCGGUUAACUACGGGCCAGCAGCCGCGGAAAUACGUAGGGGGCAAGGGUUGCCCGAAAUCACUGGCGGUAAAGCGCGCGCAGGGGGUCUUUCACGCCUGUGGGGAAAGCCCAGAGUUCACCUCUGGGAUGGCCUUGAAAAUGGCAGUGUUUGAGCGGCGAAAAGGGAAGGGAAAUUCCACGUGUACGGGGGAAUGGCGUAAAAAUGUGGAGGAACACCAGUGGGGAAGGGGCCUUGUUGGCCGAUUGUUGACGUUGAAGCGCGAAAGUGUGG